rnacentral:rRNA from 1 species
CUGCCAGUUGCCACAUGCUUGUCUCAAAAAUUACCCUUUGAAUGUCUAAGUACAAAUUCUAAAACAAAUGAAACCGCGAAGGGUUCAUUAAAUCAGUUAUGAUUUAUUAGACCCUGCGUCCCACAUGGAUAACUGGGGUAAUUCUAAAGCUAAUACAUGCAAAUGGCCCUGACUUACGGAGGGGCGCUUUUAUUAAAUCAAAAUCAAUCGGGGCACCCCGUUUUUGGGAUGACUCUGGAUAACUUUGGGCCAACCGAAUGGCCUUGUGCCGGCGGAAAAUCUUUAAAAUGUCUGCCCUAUCAACUUUCGAUGGUAGGGGACAUGCCUACCAUGGUUGUAACGGG